rnacentral:rRNA from 1 species
GACGAACGCUGGCGGCGUGCCUAAUACAUGCAAGUAGAACGCACAGUUUAUACCGUAGCUUGCUACACCAUAGACUGUGAGUUGCGAACGGGUGAGUAACGCGUAGGUAACCUGCCUGGUAGCGGGGGAUAACUAUUGGAAACGAUAGCUAAUACCGCAUAAUAUUAAUUAUUGCAUGAUAAUUGAUUGAAAGAUGCAACUGCAUCACUACCAGAUGGACCUGCGUUGUAUUAGCUAGUAGGUGAGGUAACGGCUCACCUAGGCGACGAUACAUAGCCGACCUGAGAGGGUGAUCGGCCACACUGGGACUGAGACACGGCCCAGACUCCUACGGGAGGCAGCAGUAGGGAAUCUUCGGCAAUGGACGAAAGUCUGACCGAGCAACGCCGCGUGAGUGAAGAAGGUUUUCGGAUCGUAAAGCUCUGUUGUAAGAGAAGAACGGGUGUGAGAGUGGAAAGUUCACACUGUGACGAUAUCUUACCAGAAAGGGACGGCUAACUACGUG